rnacentral:lncRNA from 1 species
CACCAAGACAACCCCGUUGCAGCACAAAACCUAGCACCAAAUCUAUCGAUGCAACACUUAAAUCGAAAGAGAAGUGCGCAAAGAGGAAGAGAUCGAAAAGAUUUGAAUCGAAUCUACGGGAGCAAAAAGGGGAUCGAAGGAUCACCUUGGAUUUGAAGUUGAGAUUACUGCAUUUUAGGGUUAGGAUUUGGGAGGAGAGAAUGGGAGAAGAGAGAGGGAGAGCGAGAGAGUUACGCGUAAAGUUAGGGUUUGGGAGAAGAGAAUGGGAGACGGUGGGGGAAAGCAGAAGAGGACGUGUCUGGGGUUUGGGGGGGGGAUGGGGGAAGACGAGAUCGUGCUGGGUUUGACGGAGGAUAAGAUUAACUCCUAUCCCAUGUAAUCUCACCAAUUAAGCUAGGAAGUUAGUCCAAUAAAAGCCGGAUUAAAUUAAUUAAGAUCAUAUUGGCUUAUUUAAUUAGGAUAAUUGUUUACAUGCCUUUCAAAACUUCUAAAAUAUCUUAUAUAUUUCUAUAUUUUUGUUUCAAAUAUACCAUAUUUCUCUGUUAUUCAAAAAUAACCCCGCUGUUAGUAACCUUAAGUUAUCUUGUGUUAAACCAGGAUUAAAUUUUUACCAAGAGUUAAAAGAGUCAAAAUACCUAUUUUGUUCCUGACUUAAAGGCAAAUAAGAAAAGUUAGUGACAGUAGAUAGAUAUAUUUGAAAGAGAAGAAGUCAAAAUACCUCUCCUUGCUUCUAACUUAAGGGCAAAUAACAAAAAUCGAUGAUGGUCGAAUAGUAUAUUUAAAAGGAUACAAUAGUAAUUUUAUAUAGAUAACGAUUGCUCCUAACAAUUUACUUAUAGAAUCUAAUUCUAUGGGUAUAUUUGAAAGAAUUUGGAGUGUUAAAAGAGUAUUUUUAAUAUUAGUCUUUUUAAGAGGGAUAAAUAAAAAAGUUGGGAACCUUGCAGGACUAUAUAUGCAAUUGUCCCUAUUUAACUUGAUGUGCGUUCAAA